rnacentral:rRNA from 1 species
UGGGGAAUAUUGGACAAUGGGCGAAAGCCUGAUCCAGCCAUGCCGCGUGUGUGAAGAAGGUCUUCGGAUUGUAAAGCACUUUAAGUUGGGAGGAAGGGCAGUAAAUUAAUACUUUGCUGUUUUGACGUUACCGACAGAAUAAGCACCGGCUAACUCUGUGCCAGCAGCCGCGGUAAUACAGAGGGUGCAAGCGUUAAUCGGAAUUACUGGGCGUAAAGCGCGCGUAGGUGGUUCGUUAAGUUGGAUGUGAAAUCCCCGGGCUCAACCUGGGAACUGCAUUCAAAACUGACGAGCUAGAGUAUGGUAGAGGGUGGUGGAAUUUCCUGUGUAGCGGUGAAAUGCGUAGAUAUAGGAAGGAACACCAGUGGCGAAGGCGACCACCUGGACUGAUACUGACACUGAGGUGCGAAAGCGUGGGGAGCAAAACAGGAUUAGAUACCCUGGUAGUCCACGCCGUAAACGAUGUCAACUAGCCGUUGGGAGCCUUGAGCUCUUAGUGGCGCAGCUAACGCAUUAAGUUGACCGCCUGGGGAGUACGGCCGCAAGGUUAAA